GUAGUCAUAUGCUUGUCUCAAAGAUUAAGCCAUGCAUGUCUAAGUAUAAGCACUCAUACUGUGAAACUGCGAAUGGCUCAUUAAAUCAGUUAUCGUUUAUUUGAUAGUACCUUUACCUGGAUAACCGUGGUAAUUCUAGAGCUAAUACAUGCUAAAAAUCCCGACUUCGGAAGGGAUGUAUUUAUUAGAUAAAAAACCAAUGCCCUUCGGGGCUCCUUGGUGAUUCAUAAUAACUUAACGAAUCGCAUGGCCUUGCGCCGGCGAUGGUUCAUUCAAAUUUCUGCCCUAUCGACUUUCGAUGGUAAGGUCUUGGCUUACCAUGGUCUCAACGGGUAACGGGGAAU
rnacentral:rRNA from 1 species